rnacentral:tRNA from 1 species
GGGGGGUUAGCUCAGCGGUAGAGCAUGCCGUUUACACCGGCAGGGUCGGGGGUUCGAUCCCCUCACCCCCCACCA